rnacentral:rRNA from 1 species
AACAAGGUCUCCGUUGGUGAACCAGCGGAGGGAUCAUUACCGAGUUUACAACUCCCAAACCCCUGUGAACAUACCUUACUGUUGCCUCGGCGGAUCAGCCCGCUCCCGGUAAAACGGGACGGCCCGCCAGAGGACCCCUAAACUCUGUUUCUAUAUGUAACUUCUGAGUAAAACCAUAAAUAAAUCAAAACUUUCAACAACGGAUCUCUUGGUUCUGGCAUCGAUGAAGAACGCAGCAAAAUGCGAUAAGUAAUGUGAAUUGCAGAAUUCAGUGAAUCAUCGAAUCUUUGAACGCACAUUGCGCCCGCCAGUAUUCUGGCGGGCAUGCCUGUUCGAGCGUCAUUUCAACCCUCAAGCCCUCGGGUUUGGUGUUGGGGAUCGGCGAGCCUUUCUGGCAAGCCGGCCCCGAAAUCUAGUGGCGGUCUCGCUGCAGCCUCCAUUGCGUAGUAGUAAAACCCUCGCAACUGGAACGCGGCGCGGCCAAGCCGUUAAACCCCCAACUUCUGAAUGUUGACCUCGGAUCAGGUAGGAAUACCCGCUGAACUUAAGCAUA